rnacentral:lncRNA from 1 species
AUCUGCCAUUUUCUACAAGAAACUAAACAAAUCCCUAACACCCUCAUUUUUUUAUCCCUUUUGCUAGGGUUUUGGCCUCAACCUAGGGGCGAUGAUUAAACGUCGCCGCACCACCAUCAAACUUGGUGGCCGACCACGCGCAAAAGGGCAUAGUUCCCGCAAUGAGAGGCUGGAGAUAAGUAUUAUCCUCUAUUUAUUUUCUUCAUGCGAAAGAAAAGAAAGAAAAACUAAAAAACACUCGGAAAAGAAGUGAGAUCCGAAAUCUAAAGGAAGAAAUUGAAAUCUCAGAUCACCUUGAAUUUCUGAUUGCUUUGUAUUCAGUAUGUGAGCGUAAAAAAAAGUCCCAAUAUAAUGUUUACAAUCGGCUUUAUAUAGCCGAAACAAAAAAUGAAAAGAAAUGAAACUAUAAAAUAAUAAUUUUUUCUUUUCUGUUAUUUCUCUGCUGUUGAUUAUCCUUGCUGUUAUUUGUUGUGGUUAUUAGUUUGUUGUAGGCGUGUCCAACUAGAGGACCAACAUGGAGGGCAUGGAGGCGCGGAGAAAGCCGUGCAUGCGAGUUGCGGUGUGAGGGUUUCCAGGACCUCCUAGUGCGUUGGGCCAAGCGGGCCUAUUUUAUUUUGGGCUGUAAUUUUAAUUGUUUUUGGGUCUUAGGGUUUAAUUGUUAGGGUCAUCAGUUGGGUUUAGAGUCUAGGCCAAUAGAUUUGGGUUUUAUUUUCGGUUUCAAUUUGGGUCUCGGGUUUGGGCCAUUGGUUUGUAAUAAUGGACUAUGUACUUUUAUUAUUUUGGUUUUAUUAAUAUUUUUUGUUUUUUAUAACGGGC